rnacentral:misc_RNA from 1 species
GAAAUACAAUAAUUAAUAUAAAUAUUUUACAAACGAGUUUGUUCACAAGCCGGCUCGCAAGUCUAUAAACAAGCUGGCUCACGAGUCUUAAUGAAUCGAAUACUGCGAAGUUUGAGCUUGACUCGUUUAUGAGCGAGCCUAAAAAAUUGAACUCGACUCAAGCUCGGCUUAUUUUUCAAAAGAGCCAAAUCGAGCCGAGCCUUAAGCAGCUCAUGAAUAGCUUGGUUCAUUUACGGCCCUACCUAAAUUGCUCUUUUACUAAAUUGGAGUUGAAAUGGAACUAUUUUCUUUUUAUAUAUAUGCUAAAGUAUUUUUGAAAAUGUUUUAAUAGCAUACCUUGGAUCUCCCACUAAAUUCUUAAAAAAUUUAUUUUACCAUUAAAAACCUAAAAAUUAUAAUUGAAUCCCAAAUGAGCAUUAUGGGUUUUAUUAAAGUAAAAAACUAAUAAACUACAACCAUAAUGAGCUUGCAAAAUCUAAAUCAUGGGCAAACCACGUGUUAAUAAGAAUCAUGUUAAUGGUUUAAUACUCCAAAUUUGUCUGAGUGACUUUAUGGUAUAAAUUAUCAUAACUUUUACCAUUAGUACUGAUUGUAUAAAUAAUUGUUUUAUGUAUAAAUUUCAAGGCAAAGAAGUAGACUCAUGCCCUUAAUGUUAAUACUGAUUUACUUUGGAUUUUCUAUCAAUGGUUGAUAAGUAAUUUCAUUAAUCAAAAGUUGAGUUUCAAUGCAUUACUCUGUUUGAAGGUUCUUUAUAGCUUCAUUUGGUACUUACUGGCUGUUCUCAUAUUAGGAUUGCUAAUUCUUACUAUUAUUUGGUGGGAAUUCUUAAUUCUUUGCUUUGAAGCAAUAUUGUUCUUUCAAAUUCAGAUUCUAGCCCAAUGUUGAGAAAUGGAGAGACCGGAGAUUGGAUUGGGACCUUUGAAGGACAUAAAGGUGCAGUGUGGAGUUGUUGCCUUGAUACUAAUGCAUUGCGAGCAGCAUCUGCAUCUGCAGAUUUUACAGC